rnacentral:rRNA from 1 species
UGGGGAAUAUUGCACAAUGGGCGCAAGCCUGAUGCAGCCAUGCCGCGUGUAUGAAGAAGGCCUUCGGGUUGUAAAGUACUUUCAGUCGGGAGGAAGGUGUCAAGGUUAAUAACCUUGGCAAUUGACGUUACCGACAGAAGAAGCACCGGCUAACUCCGUGCCAGCAGCCGCGGUAAUACGGAGGGUGCAAGCGUUAAUCGGAAUUACUGGGCGUAAAGCGCACGCAGGCGGUUGAUUGAGUCAGAUGUGAAAUCCCCGGGCUUAACCCGGGAAUUGCAUCUGAUACUGGUCAGCUAGAGUCUUGUAGAGGGGGGUAUAAUUCCAUGUGUAGCGGUGAAAUGCGUAGAGAUGUGGAGGAAUACCGGUGGCGAAGGCGGCCCCCUGGACAAAGACUGACGCUCAGGUGCGAAAGCGUGGGGAGCAAACAGG